rnacentral:misc_RNA from 1 species
GAGAAAGCCAAGAGAUUGGGGGGCGAUGCUUUGCAAUGUUGGUCCGAGAUCGAAUUGUGAUAGAGGUGGAAAGCAGAUCAGUGGUAGUAAAUGGGAAGCUCGAAUCAAGUGCUUUCAUCCAAACGGAUAAUCGGUGCAAGAUCAAAGAACAGAUUGAAGUGACAGAGCAAUUCUUUCCCAUUAAAAAUUCUGUCAUUUCGAGCCAACUAGAUUGACCAGAUGAUUGCAAAGAAGAUAUUAGACAAGAAUCUUGUUUGGAAUUUCCCACUACUAAGAAACUUCCACUCUUCAAAGAGCAAAUGGACUGAUUGAGGAACAACAAA